rnacentral:rRNA from 1 species
UACAGAGGGGGCAAGCGUUAUUCGGAAUUAUUGGGCGUAAAGGGCGCGUAGGCGGCUUUGCAAGUGACGGGUGAAAUCCCUCGGCUUAACCGAGGAACUGCCUGUCAGACUGCAUGGCUUGAGACCAGGAGAGGUGAGUGGAAUUCCCAGUGUAGCGGUGAAAUGCGUAGAUAUUGGGAGGAACACCAGUGGCGAAGGCGGCUCACUGGACUGGUACUGACGCUGAGGCGCGAAAGCGUGGGUAGCAAACAGG